UACGGGGGGGGUAAGCGUUGUUCGGAAUUACUGGGCGUAAAGGGUUUGUAGGUGGCCGGCUAAGUCAGACGUGAAAUCCCUCAGCUUAACUGGGGAACUGCGUCUGAAACUGAUCGGCUCGAGUGCAGGAGAGGAACGCGGAAUUCCAGGUGUAGCGGUGAAAUGCGUAGAUAUCUGGAGGAACACCGGUGGCGAAGGCGGCGUUCUGGACUGCAACUGACACUGUAAAACGAAAGCCAGGGGAGCAAACGGG
rnacentral:rRNA from 1 species